UUAAGCCGCUUCCGCGGCCGCUGCUUCCGCUGCCUCAGCAAGAAGCACCGCCGCACUGACUGUCGCGACCCCAUCCACUGCAUCAUCUGCGAGCAGCCGAGGCACAUUGAGAAGAACUGCCCCCGCAACCAGCAAACCAGAGGUGCCAGUAGCAGGCCAGCCCCCGCCGCCCCGCCAGUUCCAAUCCACUCGCGCCUCUGCUUCCCGCCUCCUGCCGCAUCCACCAUGGCCACCACCACCCCCGCCAUGCUGCACCACAUCGACCCUUCGCGCCGCUCCAGAGAGAGCCACUCGCUGACUAUGUCCACCCCGGCAAUGGGGUAG
rnacentral:rRNA from 1 species